rnacentral:rRNA from 1 species
AACAGUACUGCGACCAAUAGCGUUGUUUUUCUGUCGUAAUUUUGAAGGUGAUCAUUUCUUCGGAGAUGGUUUUAUAGCGGAUUACAUGGUUAAAUGAUUUAUUGGUGAUUGGCGAUUAACAGGCUUUGAUUAGGUUAAUGUUGAUAGAGCUGUGAUAGACUAAUAAUAGGCUGUUGUGGUUUUGUUGAUGUUCAUCAGGAUUGAUAUGUUAAUCUAAAGUCUGCAGUGUAUGUAGGUUACUUACUCGUCCCGUCUUGAAACACGGACCAAGGAGUUUUAUAUGAUCGCGAGUCAAAGGGCCUUACGAAACCCCACGGCGCAAUUAAUGUGAAGGCUUAUUUCGGUAAGCUGAGAUGUGACCUCGUGGCAACACAGAGUGCAACAUCGACCCGUCUACAAAUGUUCGCAUUUGGGCGGAGUUUGAGCGAUCAUGUAGAGACCCGAAAGAUGGUGAACUAUGCUUGUGCAGGUUGAAGCCAGAGGAAACUCUGGUGGAGGACCGCCGCGGUUCUGACGUGCAAAUCGAUCGUCGGACAUGAGUAUAGGGGCGAAAGACUAAUCGAACCAUCUAGUAGCUGGUUCCCUCCGAAGUUUCCCUCAGGAUAGCUGACAUUUGUUGUUGUAGUUUUACCCGGUAAAGCGAAUGAUUAGAAGUAUUGGGGACGAAAUGUUCUCAACUUAUUCUCAAACUUUAAAUGGGUUCGAAGUGUGUCUUUCUUCAUUGAAGAUGUGCAUCGAAUACAAGUGUCUAGUGGGCCAUUUUUGGUAAGCAGAACUGGCGAUGUGGGAUGAACCAAACAUCUGGUUAAGGUGCCUAACAUAACGCUCAUGAGAACCCAAAAAAGGUGUUGUUUGAUAAAGACAGCAGGACGGUGGACAUGGAAGUCGUCAUCCGCUAAGGAGUGUGUAACAACUCACCUGCCGAAUCAACCAGCCCUGAAAAUGGAUGGCGCUGUAGCGUUGGACCUAUACCGGAUCGAUAUUGCAAGUUUGUAUAAACGAGUAAGCGAUAUCGUGUAGGAGGGUGCCGUGGUUGCAAAGAACUACUGC